UGUAGGAGUGAGCCUGCUCGCGAUAGCGGUAUUCCAGUCGCUCUAUCAUCGACUGAUAGAUUGCUAUCGCGAGCAGGCUCACUCCUACA
rnacentral:misc_RNA from 1 species